rnacentral:lncRNA from 1 species
UCACGAUGGACCCGGUGUCUGUCUGCGAUGUGAUGCUGGAGAACUUUGCACUUGUGGCCUCGCUGGGCCUUGCAUCUUCCCAGACUCAGGUAGUUGUCCACUUGGGGCUGGAGGAAGAGACAUGGAUGCCUGACAAAGCUAUGGGAGGAGGGACUCUGGGGGGGACUGGCUCUGGUAAGUGGGAAGUGAGGGAUGGCUUAACAUCAGGGCUGGGUUCUCAUGAUUCCAGCAACCUUGCCAGUGUCCAUCAUUGUUUUUAUACCAAGGGCAGGGGCCAUAACUCUUUUCUAUGUUUUGCAUUCUUGACAUUUUGCCCAUUUCUCUUUCCUACACUGACAUCUGGCCAGGGCCGACUCCCACCUCUCUGAUUUCCAGGUCUCACCCCUUCCUUUCCACUGUUCCCUCUGCAGUGUUCU